ensembl:lncRNA
AAAAAAUAAGUCUAUUGUGUGUUUUUUUGUGUGUAAGUUACUUUUCUUUUUUUUUACUUAAGAACCGGAGGUGGGGGACAGUAAGAUUGUGUUGUCUCUUCGAUCCAACAAGGAGGAGGCGGAGGAGUAGAAGGUUGAUGAGGAGGAGCAGGAGGAGGAGGAGGAGGUGGAGCUGGACAGAAAAGGAGUUGGAGGGAAUGCCCUGAUGACAGUUCUCCCACUUUGUUUUUCCUCCUCGAAACGGACCAAGGCCAUGAUGUUCAAUCUCCUCCAUCGACCGGUGUCAUCAAAAGGGCUGCCAAUAUCCUGUCCUUCUUAAUUCGUGGCCAAUUCAAUCACUGUUCUGAAUGAUGGAGAUCCAAAUGACCGGGCUCCACCCAUGGAGUGAAGAGGCAGUGCAUCCUUGCGGUCAAUCACGUGGAUUGUAUUGACCGGCAGGAGUCAAGUAGAGAACAAAAGUGGUUGAUUUGAUGAUGGGAGCCGCCCAAGUGGCACUCAUUUCAAUAAUAUCAUUCCCUGCGCCUCUCAAAGGUUAAGAGUCUAAUUGUAAACCC